CUGAUACAACACAACCCGUGCGUGCAGACUGGGAACUAGUGAAGGUAAGACUGAUACAACACAACCCGUGCGUGCAGACUGGGAACUAGUGAAGGUAAGACUGAUACAACACAACCCGUGCGUGCAGACUGGGAACUAGUGAAGGUAAGACUGAUACAACACAACCCGUGCGUGCAGACUGGGAACUAGUGAAGGUAAGACUGAUACAACACAACCCGUGCGUGCAGACUGGGAACUAGUGAAGGCAAGACUGAUACAACACAACCCGUGCGUGCAGACUGGGAACUAGUGAAGGCAAGACUGAUACAACACAACCCGUGCGUGCAGACUGGGAACUAGUGAAGGUAAGACUGAUACAACACAACCCGUGCGUGCAGACUGGGAACUAGUGAAGGUAAGACUGAUACAACACAACCCGUGCGUGCAGACUGGGAACUAGUACUAGAGAACUGAAAAAUGUUCUUCACUACCAGAAACGAAAAAAAAAAGGAUUUUAUAUUAGCACUGUCGUGGUAAGUCAUUUCAUGUGUGGGUCUUGAUAAGGUUAGCCAGCAGUCCCUUGGGCUCGCUAGUUUCCCUGGCGCGUUGCUGACAGUGGCAGCUGUGUUAAUUAGUUUGGCUUGGCAGAGCCUCUCCGUUGCGCCGCGGGGAGCAGGUACUAAUUAUCGGACCGCUUUCCAUUCCACUCACCCUAUCAGCACACUGCAGGCACCCGUUACUUGGUGAACUUUUCUUGGUUAGAUUGUAAUUUAAUGACCAUAACAAUGCGCUUGUGUGGUUAUUCCAGCAACAUUGUGUCGGUCAAUUAACCCUAGCGCGUCGACCGUAUUGGAAUGAGUAUUUAUUUACGUAUUCAUAUGUUGUUUUUUUUUCAAUUUUGCUAUAAUAAACCUUAUUUAAGAUGGUUCUGUCAUAAAAGAUAUUUAACGUACGCGUUUAUUUUAGAAUUUUCUUGUGUGUGUCGAAGCUGUACCAUACCCGUCAUGAAGACACUAUUUCAAACGGAAUUGCAUUUUCCUCAGGGUGGGAGCUCGAGCAAGCAGGACCCACAUAAGGAGCACGUGAUACAUGGUUGCUGGGUGCAAUAUGUCUCCUAAUUAACCAGUCCUAGUUUUCUUCUCGGUGUGAUUUAUUAGACUCAGCAAUGCUUGGAAAGGUUGUAUGAUUAGGGACACCGCACCGGUGCAUGGAGUGCAGCCAUAACUGUGUCGCGGGCAGGCAGGGGGGCAAUGAUUCAACGUGAAGAGGCUGCAAGGUGUUUUAAUUGUUUACGUGGCGCCAGCAGUGCGGCGGCUUGCGAUUCGCUUCAGAUGUAAAUGUAAUUGCGUAUUCGCAUUGCCCUUGCUGUCGCAAUCAUCCACAGCGGUUCUGGGUUCCGCAGCUCCACUCAUUAUUCCUGGUUUUUUAACUUGUCUGCUGGAGAAUCCCGUGGGCCUUCCUCGUUCCAAUCAAAUCACGUGACGAUUUGACCUUCACAUUUUGGAACAGAACGAGAAAGGAUUAGCGCUGCUCUUGAGAUCAAAGCAAACUCAAAGCCAAGUGGAAAACGAGAACCCUACACUUAAAUUCGCUCACAACUUCAAAAACACUCGAGCACUGAUUAUAAGGGUCACGCAGACAAAGUGACAGCUGACGCCUCCAUCCGUGUUCAACAUAUACGUUUGUACUGUGAGCAAAAUUAUAUCCCCGAGGGUAUUCCCCACGUGUAAGCAGAGUGCCUCGCACGGCAGUCCCAUACUUUCAGUUGUUCUGUGUUUAAAAAGCCCACAAUGUGUGGUUCAUCUUCGACAGCAGCGCAGUGUAUAGUGUGAAAAUGAGCGCUGCUUACCGCAGUGAUCUGUGCUGAGGUAACAGGUGGCACCUGUUCGGUGUGCAGUAAUUAGAAACAGGUGUGGUUGCCCCGUGUAGGUGGCCUCUUUAAGUUAAAGACUGCUCUGUUGAAAUGAAGGAUUAUGUAGUACUAACGCUAUGGUUCGUGAAGGCAACAGAGAGGAGACAGGAUACACUGCAAUCCUUUCACAUUAGAGCAAUCAAACCUGGCAGGCGGAGCACUCUCCAAAUCCAACGAUCUUUUGAACGAAGACUUGUCGGAAGAGCCGAACCUCCGGUCCCUGUCUUCAAUAGUGGACAGCAUCGCCGCCGAAGCGACCCCCGUU